AUUCGCUAAAGGGUGCUCGGGAGGCUACGCCGUAAAACAAACCCAUUUCUAAGGUUGACCUCGGAUCAGGUAGGGAUACCCGCUGAACUUAAGCAUAUCAAUAAGCGGAGGA
rnacentral:rRNA from 1 species